AAACGACAUCGAAAGCUUGCUUUUGAUGGGCGUCGACCGGCGCACGGGUGAGUAACGCGUAUCCAACCUGCCCACCACUUGGGAAUAACCUUGCGAAAGUAAGACUAAUACCCAAUGACGUCUCUAGAAGACAUCUGAAAGGGAUUAAAGAUUUAUCGGUGAUGGAUGGGGAUGCGUCUGAUUAGCUUGUUGGCGGGGUAACGGCCCACCAAGGCUACGAUCAGUAGGGGUUCUGAGAGGAAGGUCCCCCACAUUGGAACUGAGACACGGUCCAAACUCCUACGGGAGGCAGCAGUGAGGAAUAUUGGUCAAUGGACGAGAGUCUGAACCAGCCAAGUAGCGUGCAGGAUGACGGCCCUAUGGGUUGUAAACUGCUUUUAUAAGGGAAUAAAGUGAGUCUCGUGAGACUUUUUGCAUGUACCUUAUGAAUAAGGACCGGCUAAUUCCGUGCCAGCAGCCGCGGUAAUACGGAAGGUCCGGGCGUUAUCCGGAUUUAUUGGGUUUAAAGGGAGCGUAGGCCGGAGAUUAAGCGUGUUGUGAAAUGUAGAUGCUCAACAUCUGCACUGCAGCGCGAACUGGUUUCCUUGAGUACGCACAAAGUGGGCGGAAUUCGUGGUGUAGCGGUGAAAUGCUUAGAUAUCACGAAGAACUCCGAUUGCGAAGGCAGCUCACUGGAGCGCAACUGACGCUGAAGCUCGAAAGUGCGGGUAUCGAACAGGAUUAGAUACCCUGGUAGUCCGCACGGUAAACGAUGGAUGCCCGCUGUUGGUCUGAAUAGGUCAGCGGCCAAGCGAAAGCAUUAAGCAUCCCACCUGGGGAGUACGCCGGCAACGGUGAAACUCAAAGGAAUUGACGGAAG
rnacentral:rRNA from 1 species